AUUGAACGCUAGCGGGAUGCCUUACACGUGCAAGUCGAACGGCAGCACGGACUUCGGUCUGGUGGCGAGUGGCGAACGGGUGAGUAAUGUAUCGGAACGUGCCUAGUAGCGGGGGAUAACUACGCGAAAGCGUAGCUAAUACCGCAUACGCCCUACGGGGGAAAGCAGGGGAUCGCAAGACCUUGCACUAUUAGAGCGGCCGAUAUCGGAUUAGCUAGUUGGUGGGGUAACGGCUCACCAAGGCGACGAUCCGUAGCUGGUUUGAGAGGACGACCAGCCACACUGGGACUGAGACACGGCCCAGACUCCUACGGGAGGCAGCAGUGGGGAAUUUUGGACAAUGGGGGAAACCCUGAUCCAGCCAUCCCGCGUGUGCGAUGAAGGCCUUCGGGUUGUAAAGCACUUUUGGCAGGAAAGAAACGUCAUGGGUUAAUACCCCGUGAAACUGACGGUACCUGCAGAAUAAGCACCGGCUAACUACGUGCCAGCAGCCGCGGUAAUACGUAGGGUGCAAGCGUUAAUCGGAAUUACUGGGCGUAAAGCGUGCGCAGGCGGUUCGGAAAGAAAGAUGUGAAAUCCCAGAGCUUAGCUUUGGAACUGCAUUUUUAACUACCGAGCUAGAG
rnacentral:rRNA from 1 species